UCGGUCCUCGGUAGUGGCUCCCGGAACCCGCCUCGAGCGGGAAGACCGUGGGCCUCGAUCGAAGACCG
rnacentral:ncRNA from 2 species